rnacentral:lncRNA from 1 species
AAUACAUCCAGGGCACCUGGUUCUGUGGGUGCAGAGGGCUGAGAGCAGAGAAGGGCCUUGGCGGGGGAUGCAGUGUGGGGGGGAUGGCCCAUGGCUGAGGAUAGGAUGAAUGAAGCAAGGAGGGUCAGGGCCAGGAAGGCUGGCCUUGGGCAAUAGUCCAGGAAAGGAGUGAUAAGAGCCUGAUAGGAGCUGAAGGGGAGAGGACAGAAAGCAGUGCUGGGAGAUGGGGGCCGAGGAGGCAGAUGAGACCAGACUCUUCAGCGGAUUGGCUGCAGGGUGGGGCCAAGGCUCCAAAUCCAGUGAUGGAGCCUCACCUGGUGUGGGUCGCUGUGGAUCUGAGCAUAGGAGGCCACAGGGGAUCAUAGCUGGCGUGUCCCAAAUGCCCCUGAGUGAUGACACAAGAAUGUUUACAUCCAGAAAUUCCUUGUCCGGCCCCUCUCCCAGGAAUGCGCUGGGACCUAAAUUCUUCUGUACAGAGGAAAAGUGCAGCCCUUGGAUGGCCUCUGCAGCAUUGUUCCUUGGCAAACACAGGAAGCUUUCAUCACCUUCUCACACGGUGGGGACCUGCACCACGAGAGGACACGAGCGCGGAAAUUGAGACUAAGCAGUUAGAAACUUCUGAACUAUAGCGUCUACAGAUACUACAGAAUCUAUAGCAAUUUGAUGUUGCUCAGAAACCCAAAGGCAGAUCGGAAAUAAAGAAGCUGAUUUUUCACCCCAGAGGGUUUAAGAAUCAUGGUUCUAGCACACUCUGUAAAAUGUAUUCCAUUUCCUGUUUGUCUUCUCCCCACCCGCUGCUGCUUGACUGCCAGCUCCACAGGGCAGGGAUCUUCUCCGCUUUACUCCCCACGAUCUCCCCAGCUCCUAGAAGAGUGGCUGGCACGUGGUGGGUGCUGGAUGGAUAUUUGUUGAAUGAGCGAAUGUGGAAGAGGUGAUCCGAGAGGGUGAAGCAUCAUCAGCUGGCCACGGGCUAGGAGGGCAGCAAAUGCUCUCUGUUCCCCAUCCCUGCCUGACUUGAACACAGUGCUCUGGAUCCAAACCCCUGUGAGUUGUUCUUGGGGUUCAAGUACCAUAGGACAUGGUUGGGAACUGUUGCCC